rnacentral:rRNA from 1 species
ACAGAUCGUUCAGAGUUUGAUCCUGGCUCAGGACGAACGCUGGCGGCGCGCUUAACACAUGCAAGUCGAGCGAUGAAAUUUUAACAGAUCCCUUCGGGGUGAAGAUAAAAUGGAUUAGCGGCGGACGGGUGAGUAACACGUGAGUAACCUGCCUUAGACAUUGGGAUAGCCUCGGGAAACCGGGAUUAAUACCGAAUAAAAUCACAGAUACACAUGUAUCCAUGAUCAAAACUCCGGUGGUCUAAGAUGGACUCGCGUCCCAUUAGCUAGUUGGUGAGGUAACGGCCCACCAAGGCGACGAUGGGUAGCCGGCCUGAGAGGGUGAACGGCCACAUUGGAACUGAGAGACGGUCCAA